AUUUCAAAGUGAGGCUCUGUGAGUAAUAGGAUGCUGUCCGCUGCCUGAAAGGCAAGGAGGCAGGAAGACAAUCAAAAUGAAAGAUCGGCAUUGCCUGGACACAGAUCUCACUCUGAGAUGGAGUUCCGAGGGGAGUCAUGGAAAGAUGAGAGUCCCAAAGCUGUAAGAGAGAAAACUACUUGAGCAGAGGCCCCGGCUGGGCUGGUGGCCCCAAGGCUGACUGCGGUGUGUGCUCCUCCCUCAGGACGCCAUUGCCUUGCUUGACAUCUCCUGGGCAAGUCUCCACAGAACCUCUUAUCAAACUCCAAAGUCAUCUUCUUCCACACGUGCAGAGGCCUGCUCAUCUUUUCUACUACAGAGGAGGUUCAGGUACCUGUCUACAAGCAAAACUGUUGUCUCACUCAGAGAGAGUAACUAAAUAUUUGCCUCCAAAAAUUUUUAUCUCUCUGCCCCAGAACUGAUCUCUUGCAACAGUAAUUUAUAAGAGAUAUUCCAUCUCCAACCCACUGGAAGUUAGUCUUGCCCUAAGAGUUGUAAAUCCAAUGACAAGCAUAUUAUAAGAGACACACAGAGGAAAGGUAGGCACAAUAGUAGGAAGCAACUGACCAGAGAGGCAGAGAUUGGAGUGAUGCAGCCAUAAGCCAAAGGCCAGCUGGAGCUGCCAGAAGCUGGAAGAGGCAAAGGAAGAAAGUAUCUGCUGCUUUGGAGGCACUAAAAGGACACCUUGAUUUUGGACUUCCCGCCUCUAGAAUAUGAAAGAACACAUUUCUGUUAUUUUAAACCACCAGUUGGUGGUAAGUUUUUACAUCAGUCUCAGAAAACUAAUUUAAAAACUUUAAAGUAUCAAUAGAUGGAUACUUAUGUAUUAUGACGAAAAGUAUCUAUCUGCCAACGCUGGACUCUGUAAGUGCUCAAAAUAUAACUGCAACUUAUCCUGGAUAGAGCAAAGGAUUUGAUUGCUAAAUCUUUUGGACCAAUCAUGAGUUUAUGACAGUGGACAAGUUUGCUUGUAGGUAAACCUCAAUUUCUUCAUCUCUAAAACAUGGUUAACAAAACACCAUUCACAGAGAGUAAUUAUUACAACUUGACAUAAUGCAUUAAAAAGUUUACACAGUUCCCAGCAUAUAAUAAGCACGUGAUAAAUAUAUUCCAGACACACAAGGACAUGGUACCUGGGGCCACGCUGAUUGAUAUCUGGCAGCUUCUAACUUCGUUAUGUGGUUCAGUAAGACAAGCGCUAUUGUACAAAAGUAAGCUAACAAAAAAGCUUAAACCAAAGUUUAUUUUUUUCUUUAUAUGACUCAAAAAGAAAUAACAUCAAAGAAAAAUCAGUUACAAUUACAAAAUGACUAAACUACAAGAAAAGUGUAAGGACCUUUUGUAUCGGCUAUGAAUGAGAACAUACUUUCCCAAAUGCUGUCUUUAAAAGCUGUGAAUACAAGAGAAAAGCACUGCCGUACACCCAGGUGCUCUCUGUGGGCGUGCUCUGCAGAUGACUUGGGGUUAGGAAAGUGAGUUUCUAGAAUUCUUGGCUUGUGCAUCUGAGAGGUACUUUCCUCGGCUUGUUUGUUUUGCGUGAAGAGUUGCUAGGAAUGAUUCAGAAUGUACAUGUUUGUGUAGUGAAAGUCCUGAGGUUCUGGCAUCCAGUGGGGGUCCUGGCCCCUGUAGAAAGUCUUCUUUCUCACGUGGGAGCUGGCUGCUCCCCGGAAGUGGGUAUAAAAGACAGCAUUCCUCUCAUUCCCAACCAAACAGGUCUCUCACAGAGAGGGAAAUAAAUGUCCCACUGGCCUAUGUGGAAAAGGGCCUAUUUCCAUUCCCCAGGCACUUCUACAACUGCCCUGAUGUCUGGAAGAGCCUUAGGGAUUGGUGAAAAUACAACUGAUUUUCUAGUAGAAAUAUAGCUUCUCUCCAGAAGGUCUAUUCCACCUGAGCAAGAAGCUGGUUCUUUAGGCUGAGGAGAUGGUAUGGAGACUGUCUUAGUCUGUUUUGUGCUGCUAUAACAAAAUACCAGAGACUGAAUAAUUUGUAAAUAACAGAAAUGUAUUCCUCACAGUUCUGGAGGCUGGGAGGUCGAAGACCAAGUUGCCAGUAGAUUUGAUGUCUGGUGAGGGCUACUCUCCGUUUCUAAGGUGGCACCUCGUUACUUCAUCUUCCAGAAGAUACAAAGGAUGUGUCCUCACAUGACAGAAGGCUAAGUGAGCUGAAAGCUGCUUGAAGUCUCUUCUAUAAAGGCCUCAAUUCCAUUCUUAAGAGAGGGGCCCUCAUAGCUUGAUCACCUCUUAAAGGUCUCAUCUCUUAAUACCACCACAUUAGCCAUUAAAAUUCAACACCUGAAGUUGGAGGGGACCCAUUCAAACCAUAGCAGGGAUUGCCUCUCCUGUCCUCCCACUCAUCAGUGAAAGGACGCCUCUGUCCCUCUCUCCUAUUUCUGGACCUAUUAGAUUUAAGGACAUUUAGAAAGGGAGAAAUGGCUGAGGAAGUUAAAAAAAAUGGUUUGAUAAACUAUGGAAUAAAAAUAAUCUCCAUAGAAUUUAAUUGGUACUUUUUACUUGAGGGAAAUCCACAUGGCCCCAGUUAGCAUGAUUAUUUUUGGUCAUGCUUACAUCUAUGCUUGCAAGAAUAUUAAUUUUUUAUUUGGCUGAGAAGCCAUGAAAUGUCUAUCUUUAUGUUUCCCGUUUGGUUAUUCAUCCUAUGCAUUAGGCAAAACACAAAGAAACCUAAAGACACCAGUAGAUGGUCCAAGUGGGGAGGCAAACACUGGCAACUGACAUAUCUUGCUAUGUGUAAAAAACUAUGCUCACGUUGCUCUGUUUUAUUCCACAGGUUGUGCUAUUAGAGAUUAGAGAAGUUAAUGUAAGUGCAGCUUCCUCACAAAAAAUGCAGGACACACAAGGGCUGCUUUCAGCAUUCUGCUUGAUUGUGCACAGCCUAGAUGCAGAGCACUCAGGAGCACACAGGAGGGUAAUAAAAAUCACACCCACCAUGCUUUCUGGUUUGCAAAAGCCCUUUGGGAAUGUCAUCUCACCUGCCUGAAUGCAGUGCUCGCUCUCGCUACCUCUGCUUCUCACAGUGGGGUUCUCCUUCCAGAUCCUGGUGUCCAGGAGAAACCUAGACAUGGUCUUUAUCACAUUCAGACACUUCUCCAUCUGCAUGAGCAAGUACAGGAUAAGGUGUUAUGUUUUACUAUCUUUGUACUGUCAGGGAUGCAGAUGGAUAAGUGGUAUUUUGGCACUAAUUUGCAAAGCUAAAGGCCCCAGCUCCUAGUUACAAAGAAUUUUUUUGCUUCUCUUUAGUGGUUUCCAUAGCAGUGUGCUUCUCCCCACAGAACACGCUCUGGAAGAAUUAGCACAAGAGUUUUGGAGAUGAUACUACUUGUUUCAUUUUAGAGUGCUUACCCUUUGACAAUAGCUGCGUUCUUUGCUACAUCUGAGGUUCAUGAUAUUUUUAUACCAACUCAAGAGCUCAAUUUAAAAUACUGUCCAAAAUAACAUCUCAUCCAAACUUGGAAAUCUUGGGGAAAAAAAACCAACCAUUAUGAAACUUUUAAUCCACUCUAUAAUUUCAAGGGAUAAAAAGCUCUUUAUGUGAAAAUGUAUUGAUAACAUUUUGCCAGCCACACAAGGACUCGAAUCUUUCCCAUGAUAAAAGGUUUCUUCACCCAUUGGGAAGAUGUGUUUGCUCCUUAUUUCAUUCAACAAACACUUACUACACAUAAGGUACAUGCCAGCAUUGCUUCAACCCUUGGAGAUACACAGCCCUAGGACAUUGUCCUCAAAGAACAGCAAGAGUGUAGUGUGAGAUUUUUUAAAAAGGAAAAGACUAAGGCACUAUGGCAGUGGUUGAGGGAGGGCUUUCCAGUGUCUGUGGAAUAUGAGGGAGGGGCACAGAGGUGGGGGUGGCGGUCCUCACUCCUCCGUCUGCGUUGAGGGUCAAAAGAGGAAAUAUACCAGCAUGAGCUGGAUUUGUACUAUAAGCCAGACACUGCACUGUGCUGGUUGACACUCCGGCCUAACACCUUUCAAGUAUGUUUGUACAUAUAGAUUUUAAGAAUUCAACAAUUCUAGGAGGUAGCUAGCCUUAAUCCCAUUUUCCAAAUGAUAAAACUUGGGCCAAAAGUGUUCCAAAUAUAUCCCUCACCCAUCCCAUUCUAAAGCCAAGUAUUGUCACCAAUCUUCAAAAAUAUGUAGGAAUUGGCCAGAUUUCACCAUGAGCAAAUGGACAAAUGCCCAAAUUAGCAAAAGUCGGGGUUUAAUUUUUGAAUUAAAAUUAAUUCAGGAUUAAUUAGGAUUAAUUAAUUAGGAUUGAGAUGAGAAAGUAGCAGGGGCAGAUUGGGCAACCCUCGUAUGCUUCAGUCAGGAAGGAAAACUAAAUGUGGGUUGGUGCCGAAGGAUUUUAUAAUGGGGAUGGAUGUUUUUAGGAGACAGCAGGUAGAGACUGCAUUGACAGGUGAAAAUAGGAAGCUGUUGCCCAGGGAAGACCCCUUCAUGCACUGGCUAUGAGAUGCAGAGGAGUUAUUGUUGUACUGGCUUCAUGAUUCUUCAGGUACCAAAUUCUGAAAACAGCAUUGGGUUUAGUUCUGGAGGCCCGGGUGAUCCCUUCCUUCCAAUCAAUUGCUCUUCCUUCUGUGGAAGAACUGAAUAAAGAGGGAACUUUCCAUGAGGCUGAAAUGUCAUCCUUUGAUCUCCAAUCCACUAUGCACCUGGCCUGGACUAGCCUCAUGACACCAGGAUAGGACCUAAUUCCAGCAUUCAAGCAACUCCAUGUCUGUACAUAUAAAACAUGAUUAAGAGGCAAUUAAAUAAGGACCACCACCCCUUCUGCCUGGCUGGACAGCAGCCCUGGAGGGCAGUCAGGUCCCUGGUGGCUGCUCCUGCUGCUGCUCAGCACCAGGUAGGCACAGUGGUCCAGGAGGACUGUAGCCUCCACACUCCUAGACUGGGAAAGCCCCCAUGUGGAGGCUCCCACUUUGCAAGGGAUUUGGGGGAUUGCCUCUACAGGAGGCUUUUCAAAUAUGCACCAAGUGUAGACAGUUCUGCAGGCCUGGGACUUCUGGACAUCCUGGACUUUCGUCUUUCAGGCUCAGCUCAGGUGCAAUGGGUAGGCAGAGGCUUUGUUAGUGCUUUGAACCUCCUGGGACCUACUAGGAGUUAGCAACUGUCAUGUCCACAGCAAACCCUUGCUGCUUAUGUCCUUGGACCUUGGGUACAUGGCUCAUCUGGAGGCUAGAGGGUGAGCAGAUCCUGAACAGGGUGCAGUUGGGAGGUCCAACACCCCUCCUGGGCUCAAUCAGUCACCUCCUUCCUGGUUAUGGCUGGGACCAGGGCCCUAGGACCCUGGAACUGUGUGACCUGGGGCCUGAGACCCAGGCACUGAGACCUCAAGCUGUGACCAGGAGCUGCACCCAGGGAGCUGGUUGGGCAGGUGGAAUUCGGGGCACAAUCUUUGCCAGCUUUAUCUUCCUGAGCAAUGCAGAAUAAGAACAGGGAUAUGGGCUUCUCUGUCUGAUUUCUGAGUAAAAGGGAACUGUCUAUAUUUUCACCGUUAUGUAUGAUAUUUGCUAUAGAUUGCCAGUUUUCCUAUUUCAAAAGUACUCAGUUUUUAUACUAGUGGAUUAUGAAUCUUAUAUGUAAUUUUUCUGCAUCUAUUAUGAAUAUUUUUCCUUUUGACAUCUAUGUAUAUGGUAAGUUUGUUAACACAUUUGUAAUGUUGUUAUUUCAACCUUUAAUUCCUGAAAUAUAACAAAUUUGGCAUUGUCUAUUGUAUUUUUUUUUUUUUUGAGAUGGAGUCUUGCUCUGUUGCCCAGGCUGCAGUGCAGUGGCACAAUCUUGGCCCACUGCAACCUCCGCCUCCUGGGUUCAAGCGAUUCUCCUGCCUCAGCCUCCUGAGUAGUUGGGAUCACAGGUGUGCGCGACCAUGCCUGGGUAAUUUUUAUAUUUUUAGUAGAGAUGGGGUUUCACCAUGUUGGUCAGGCUGGUGUCAAACUCCUGACCUCACUAUCUGCCCGCCUCAGCCCCCCAAAGUGCUGGGAUUACAGGCUUGAGCCACCUUGCCCGGCUGGUCUAUUGUAUUUUUAUGUAUAUUACUUAGAUUCAAUUUCCCAAUAUUUUGCUAAGGAAAUUUUUGCAUCCUCAUUCAGGAAUGAAAUAGCCUGCAGUUUACUUUUCUUUUGCUUCUCUUAUAUAAUUUUUAUUAAGGUUUUGAUAUGAAAGCUUAAAUUUUUACAUCUCAUAAAUGGACAUAGUGAGUGUUCUCUUAUUUUCUGUUGCCUUAAAGACUUUGUGUAAGAUUAAAAUAAUCUACUUAAUAUUUUGUAGAGCCCACCCAGAAAACUGCCUGAGUGUGAUGUUUUCUCUGUAGAAAGAUUAUUAACUAAGGAUUUCUUAAGUAUGUGUUAUUAAACUAGUUGUGGUUUCUAUUCUUCCUUAACCUAAUUUUGUUCAAUAGUAUUUUUGAGAGGUUCGUAUAAUGAAAAGUUGUCCAUUUUAGGGUAGACAGGCCUCCACAAUAUUCUCUUACUAUCUUUUUGAGAGAUUUGAUUUUGGCUAUAGUGAUCUUCAUUUGCAUAUCUCAUCUUUUACCUAUUACCUUACUGCCCUUAUUUUCUUUGGUUUGAUUGCUUUCUGAAAUCUCAGCCUUUUAUUCUAGCAUGUAUUUCAGACAACACAUUUUUUUCCUAAAAUACUAUUUUAGCUAUAUCUUCAAAUUUUUAAUUAGAGUAUUUUGUUACCAUUCAUUUCCAAGUAUUGUGUGAUUUCCCUUAUGCAAUCUUCUACGAUCAACUUUAAAGUGUGGUUUAAAUUUUCUAAACAUAUCUUAGGUUAUUUCUUGUUAUCGUCCUUUAACUAUAUUUUAGAGCCAUAUUUGUGUUUAGAUAUGCAAUAUAAUAUAUGUGAUGAUCC